rnacentral:rRNA from 1 species
UACGAAGGUGGCAAGCGUUGUUCGGAUUUACUGGGCGUACAGGGAGCGUAGGCGGUUGGAUAAGCCCUCCGUGAAAUCUCCAGGCUUAACCUGGAAAGUGCAGAGGGGACUGUUCAGCUAGAGGAUGGGAGAGGAGCGCGGAAUUCCCGGUGUAGCGGUGAAAUGCGUAGAGACCGGGAGGAAGGCCGGUGGCGAAGGCGGCGCUCUGGAACAUUUCUGACGCUGAGGCUCGAAAGCGUGGGGAGCAAACAGG